rnacentral:rRNA from 1 species
GUCUAUGGCCAUACCACCCUGAACGCGCCUGAUCUCGUCUGAUCUCGGAAGCUAAGCAGGGUCGGGCCUGGUUAGUACUUGGAUGGGAGACUUUAUGUUUUCAGUGCAUGCAUUUUACAGUCU